UUUUUUUUUUUUUUUUUUUUGAAUUGUUUGAUACCCUAAACUCAAAUAAGAUAAGGAGGGAAACAAAUCAGCAGAUAGAAAAUGCAAGAUUCCUUACAUCUUGAGAAAGUCUUAUCAUGCAAUUGAAUUUCACACUAAUGAUGCUAGUUUAUCUGGAAAGAUUUCACAUCUAAUCGUAAUAAUUUCUCCAGGGACUCAGAACAGGACGAUGGGAGAUACUCACUUUGCCUCUAUUCUUUGUUGUACUGUUUGGCUUUUUACCACAUGUAUAUUCUACCUAUUCAAGCAGACCAGUUUUUUUUUUUAUUUUAAGAGAGAAAAAAGGUAUCAUAACAGUCCCUGAAGAAUGGUACAUUAUUGUUCCCAUUUUUAAAUCUAGCAACCUUGCUAAACUCUCUUAUCAAUUUUAAUUAUACCUUUCUACAUACAUUCUUCGGAUAUUUUUGGUACAUAAUAAUAUCCAUAAAUGAUGAAAUUUUUAUCUCCCUUUCCAGUUUUUGUACCUUGAUACCUUUUAUUCAUUUGACUUAGUCCAAUGGCCAGGACCUUUAGUGUAGUGUUGAAUAGAAGUGUUGAUAUCUGGUAUGCUUGUUACCCACCAAAGGGAAAACUUUUGAAUAUGUCACUAUUAAAUAUGGUUUUUGCUUUAGAAUUUUUAUAGAUACCCUUACAAGGAAGUUUCUUCUUCUCUUGUCAGCUUGUGAAGAUUUCUCAUCAUAAAUGAGCACUAAAAUGUAUUAUUGCUUUCUUUUGUACCUAUUGAAGAUGAUACAAUGUUUCUCAUUUAAAUAUUGGUGUAUAAUUGGUCAUUUUUUUUUCUGCUGUUAAACCAAUCAUUCAUUGUUGGAAUAAGCCCAACUUGUUCAAGAUGUAUUAUCCUCACAUAUUGUUAAAAUUGACUUGCUACUCUUUUGUUUAGGAUUUUUCCAUCUAUUUUCAUGAACAACAUUGGCUGUAAUUUUUCUUUCUUGCAUUGUCCUUGUCAGUUUUGAUUUCAUAGUUACAGUAACUUCAUACAAAUUAAGGAGUACUCCUUUUUUUUUUUCUUCCCUAAGGAAAAAUUUGUGUAAGAUUGGAAUUACUCCUUUCUGGAAUGUUUGAUUGAACUUGUAGGUAAAAUCAUGUGAGCCUGAGGUAGAAAAAAUUUUUGACAGUUGAUUUUUUUUUUUUUCUUUUAGUGCCUAUAGGAUGAUUCAUGUUUUCUGCUUCUAGAUCAACUUCUUAUAGGAACUUUUCCACUUUUUAAAUAUUUGAUUUACUAAUAUAAUAUCUUUUAUUUCCGUAUUUUCUACAAAUUUAUUCAUUCUGAGAAAAGAAGAAGUUAGUUUAACAUAAUGCUUAACAUUUGGAAAAAAGAAUCUUAGGUAAGAAAGUGGUGUACUCUGAUUUUGUUUAUUAGUAGGUCUGGUUUCUUCAGGUUAAAAGAAAAAGGUUGUUUAUCAUGAUGGGAACCAAGGCUUACAUAUAAAACCAUCCUUAUUUUAUGGGAGUGUUUGGUCUGUCAGUUUAUUUAGGUAUCCCUUAAUAUCUGUCAGUAUUGUUUAGUAAUUUUCAGCUGUAAGUCUUACCUAUAUUUAAUGUUUGUCUCUAAGCAUUUUAUGUUCUUUAUGUUAUUAUAAGUGGUAUUUUUCAUUUGCUAAGUAUUCAUUGCUAGUUUAUAGAAAUAAAUUGAUUCUGAUAUAACAACCUUGUGUCUGACAGCCUUACUAGAUCCAUGUAUUAGUUCUAGCAGCUGUUUUGAAGAUUUUAAAAGAUUUUCUACAUAGGCAGCCCUGUCAUUUACAAAUAAAGACAGUUUUACUUCUUUCUGAUCUGUAUAUUUUUUCUUUUCUGUGACUAUUGGAUUGGGUUAAGACCUCUCAAACUCUGUGAGAUAGAAGUGGUGAAAACAAGCAUCUUCCCCUUACUCCCAGACUGUAAGGUAAGGAAUACUUGCGAACAACUUCCAGUUAGCAUGACAAAAAGAGUGCAGCAUUUCACCAUUAAGUGUGAUGCUAACCAGAAGUUAUUCAUAGGUAUUCCUUAUCCCUUGAGGAAACUCCUUUCUAGUCUUAGUUUCCAGAGUUUUUCUUAUGAAUACGUAUUGCAUUCUAUCAAAUGCAUUUUCCAUAUCAAUUGUAAUUACAUGAUAUUUUUCUUAUGUUCUGCUAAAAAUGUUAGUUACGUUCAUUGUCUUUAAAAAAAAAGGUUAAUCUAGUAGAAUAUCUGGGUAAAAACCACUUGAGCAUGAUACAUUAUUCUUUUUAUAUGUGGUUGGAUUCUGUUUACCAGUAUUUUGUUAAGAGUUUACACAUCUGUUUAUAAAAGUAAUUGGUCUAUACUUUUUUUAUACUGUCUUUUGCUUUGGUUAACUCAUAAACUGAAUUUGGAGGUAUUCCUUCCUCCUCUGUUUCCUGACUUUUUCUUUCUUCUAUCUUAUUUGAGAAUUGCAUCUUCACAGAAUUUAUUUAUUUCAUUAUAUUGCAGUGUUAUUGGUAAAAGUUGUUUCUAUUUAUUCUUUAUCUUUUUUAAUAUCUGAAGAAUGUCUAGUGAUAUUCUUUCAUUCCUGAUAUUGUUAACCUGCAUUACUCUCUCUUUUUGUAGAGCUUAAUCAAUUUUAUCUUAAGAUCUAGCUUUUGAUUUUAACAAUUUUUAUCGGUUUUUGCCUUUUUAUUUUAUUGGUUUCUGCUUUUUAUUACUGCCAUUAUUUAUAUUUUUCUUGUGUGUGGUUUGCUUUUUCCCUCGCUUCUUAAUCUGCAAGUUACUACAUCAUUAAUGUCAAACAUUAUGCUUUACUAAUAUAAACAUUAAGAGAUAUAGUUUUCUAUCUAGGAACUGUUACAGCUGUAUUACACAAGUUUUAAUAUGUUGUGUUUUCAAUAUUUUUUAGUUCAAUAUUGUUUCUCAUUUCCCUUUGAUUUAUUUUAGCCCUGGGUUACUUAGAGUGUAUUUUAAAAUUCCAAAUAUUUGGAGAUUUUUUUUCUAGGUGUCUUUUGUUAUUGAUUUCUACUUUAGGUCUGUUUAGUCAGAGACUAAACUUGUAUAGUUUAAUGCUUUUAAAUAUACUAAGUUUUUUUUAAUGGUCUGGCAAAUAUUGUGUCUUGGUAAAUGGUGUACAGGCACUUGAAAAAAUGCAUACUUUUGCCAUUUCAGAUUUGAUGUAAAUAUUAAUUUAUCUUUUUUUAUUUUCUAUCUACUUAUUUUUUGAAUUGUUGGUAGUAGAGUGUUGAAAUCUGCAGACACAAGUGUGGCAUUAUCUCUUCUAAUUCAGUUCUAUCAGUUUUCACUUUGAGUAUUUUGAAGCUCUGUUUUAGGUGUAUAUGCAUUUAGGAUUUUUAAAGUUGAUCUUUAAUUAUAAAGCAUUCCUCUUAUUCUUGAUCAUAUUCCUUGUCCUGAAGUCCAUUUUCUCUGCUAUUAGUAGAGCCAUCCCAACUUCCUGAUGAUUAAUGUUUGCAUGGUAUAUCUUUUUCUCUUUUUUAAAAAAUCUUUUUUUUUAAUUUAAAAUUAUUUCUUAUGGAUAGCGUAGACUUACUCUUCUCUUUUAUCAAGUCUUAUAAUCUCUGCCUUUUAAUUAUAGUAUUUAGACCAUUUACAUUUAGUUGUCAUUCUGGUUAGGUAUUUAUGUACCAUUUUGCUAUUUAUUGUCUGUUCUUUGCCUGCAUAUUCAUCAUUUUCUUUUUUUAUUAUCUCUUUUCAUAGCUGAUUAGCUGUACUCGUACUUUUCCAGUAGUUUCUCUAAGGUUUAUAAUAUUCAUGUUUAACUUAUUACAGUCUAUCAUCAGAUUAUACCACUUUAUGUAUUAUGAAAGAACCUUCCAAUGUACUUCUAUUUUCUCGUUCUAUCCUGUGUACUUUUGCUGUCAUAUAUGUUACCUCUGUUUAUAAUAACAUAAUCCAUUGUUAUUAUUUAUGCUUUAAAUAGGCAAUUACGUGUUAAGAAAAUUAAAAAACAAGAAAACAAGUGUCUUUUACAUUUACCCACAUAUUGAUCAUUUCUGCUAGUCUUCAUUGUUUUGUUUAGGUCCGAGUUUUCAUGUGGAAUAAGAACUUCCUUUAACAAUUCUUAAAGUGCAUAUCUGAUGCUAUUUCAGUUUGUUUGUCUAAAAAUACCUUUAUUUUUGAAUAAUAUUUGUAGAUUGACUUUUUUUUUCUUUUAUCAUCUUUAAUAGAAUUAUCUUAUUGGCUUGCAUUGCUUCUGAUGACAAAUUGAUGAUCUUGUUCCUCAGUUGUAAUUGUUGACAUAAAACAGAUUGCCAGUUAUUUCUCCAGCAAAAAUGUUUUUAUUUAGGAUCAUCAAACAGUUGAAUUUUAGAGCCUGAAACUAUGGCAAAUCACAUGCAAGUCCCCAGAAAAUGGAGAAGAGAACCCUUUUAUAGAUGGGAAAAGGAGUUAUGAAGGACUCUGGUAAACAAAGUGUCCAAGUCCUUUUAUUGGCUGAGUUAUGACUCUCUCUCAUUGGCUGAGCUCUUGCAGGCAAGAAUAGGGUGUCUCUCUUCUUCCUGCUGAGCUCUGCUGUUUUUUUAGGGUGUGAGAGUUCCCUCUUCUGGUCUCCUGACUCCAUUUUAAAUGAGGUUUCUAGUUAAGUGUUUUACAUUUCCCCCUUUUGAUCAAGAUCUUUCUCUGAAAGGAUUGAAAAUCAUGAGUCAAGUUUUUCGGUUUCAGUGCUUUUAUCCCCUCAAUGCCAGAAAAGGUCUUUCCUGGCUGUAGUGUCUCACAUCUGAGGCAAAGUGUAUAAAUUGGAAAUCUAUUGAAGUCAUAUUUGAGUAAUAAGGAGAAAGAGGAGGGAGAACUCUCGGGCACUUUUUAUUAUCUAAAGACUAUAUGUUGGAGUUCCCCUGUGGUGCAGUGGAUUAAGGAUUCAGCAUGGUCACUGCUAUGACACAAAUUCAGUCCCUGGCCUUUGAACUUCCAUAUGCCAUGGGCAUAGCCAAUCAAUCAAUCAAUACUAUAUGUUAUUAAGAUCAUAGACAUUGGAAAUCAUCUGAAGCAUUAGGUCAUCAUCUAAAGUUGUACAGACAAAUUUCCAGCAAGCCUAGUCCAGGUAUUUUGGAAAAGCUGUUUCACUAGAUAUCAUCUGUUUUAGUUCUGGGAAAUCUUCACUUUCAGGUCACCAGACAAUGUACAGGUCCAGUCAGGGUUUGGUACUCUUUUUAGGUAUAUCAUGUGACUCAAGAGUCUGUUCACUGGAGUUUGGAAGCACAAGGGUUGGUUAGCUGUACCUGAUAGGGGUCUUUCCAACAAGGUUGAAGAGAGUCUUUUUGGGGGGAUAUUUUUGCCAAUAGAUGAAAUCUCUAGCUUUCAAAAUGUGAUGCUGAAAAUCUUAUCUCCUGAGAGCACACUGUGAAAAGAUUACCCUACUUAAAAAAAAAAAGAAAAAA
rnacentral:lncRNA from 1 species